AGGUACAUCAGCAAUAAGCAGCUAUGAUCAGCCAACUCCGAAUAUUGAUCAAAGCUCUUCCAAUAACACAUCAAAAAGAUUAUUAAAUGAUAUAGAUUUAGAUAUUUCGAGUGAUGAUGAUGAUAUUGAAAAUAAUGCUACAUCAAGCUGUCAGCAAUCAUUUUAGAGUAUUGAUCCAAAUUCCCUAAAAAUUUAACUAACGAGAUUAAGUGACGAUGACAAGUUUGAAUGAAGACUUAAUUACUAACAAUGAUGGCCAAAUUAUUUUCCUUAAGGAAUAUGAAAUGGUAAUUAAAAUUAGGAUGCUUGCUAUU